CCUUCACCAGAAAUCUUCAAAAAACUGCCUGCCGCUCCUGUGCCGGACCCUGCCUCUGCCUGGCCAGGCCUGCUCAGAUUUAUGGCACAGUCCUGCGUCCUACUUUAGACCUGGAAGGGAUUUGUAAAGAGAAUGUGCAGAGAGGUGGCCAGCGGCUUCUGCGUGUUCCCUGAUUGAGGCACUACACAAAACAAAACAAGGGAGGAAAAAAAAAAAAAAAAAAAACAUGAACCGAAAACCACAAAAAAAGAACACUCCGUCCGGGGCUUCCCCUCUACUGCCCCACCGAGGAACGUCACUUCGCUCCGUCCGGCUGCGGCAGCCACCGAGCGAUUUCCUAGUGACGGCGCCACCGCGAGCAGAGGGACGCAUGUACGCGAGUGCCUACAAUUCUUGGUUGAUUGCUCAUGUCACCCUACUACCAACUCAUUAAAGGACCUCACAAACGGUGGAAUGGUGGAAAGGACUGGUGGGAAAAUCCUACAAGGAUCCACCCUACAAGGAUCUUCCUCGUUGGGAUGAAGGCCCUGCACCAGCAUCCAUGCAGUCAUGUGACUGCCCGCAAACAGGAAGGCAGACACCAAAAGCACAGGUGACCCUCAGUGGCACAUCAGCAGGGAAAACAAAGUAAGCAAUCAGCGCCACUGUACUGGCAGUUGGAUGUUUACUCGUUGGACAUUUACUAAAUGUGGGGACACUUAUAUCCCCUGCUUCACCCUUAAUGUGUAGAUUCAGGGACAUAUCUGGAAAGGUUUUAUUUAGCCCAGAUAAGCUGCAUCUGAGAAAGCACUGAGUACAAGGAUGUCUUCCUCAAGCACGGAACGCGCCCGACUUCCUGCCAAGAGAAUUUUAAUGAUGCAAAUAAAAGCCUCGCAUCCCUCAUUGUCUGCCAGUUAUGUCAUCCCCAUUUGUUUUUAUUACCCUUUAAAAAGAACACCGUAACAGGUCUGCGUCGCAGCAAAGCGGCGAUAAAACUCUCCAGAUGACAGUAAAUGUUUCCUUUUACCUUGGACUUCGGUGUUUCUGACUCCCACAAAGCGUUCCUAACUGCUGGAAAUUGCUCUCGGAGGACUGACAGCUGGAUAUUGAUCUUGGAUUAGAGGUGCACACCUCUCUGCCAGGCUCCCCUUGUCACCUGCAAGUUAGUGGAUCACUUGCUAAAAACUCCUCCAAAGAUGAAAAAGGCGGCGCAGAGCCUGCCUCGGCAUACCAAUGGCCCCAACUCAUUAAACUAAUGGGGGGUCAGAUCGCCCUUACCGAGCAUGCUCUGACACCCUUUGAGUUUGCCAGGGCUAGAGGGUGCGCAGCACUUUGAAAACCCUGACCGGCAUAUUGAGCGCGCUUUAAUAAAGCCCUUCUGAGGCCCCUGGUAGGAUGCGGUGGAACUCCGUGCCUUUAAGUUCCCACACCUCCCUGUGUGAACUUGUCAGAUAUCGGCGCCGGUGUCGAAUCGGGACCGGACUGGACGAGGCUUUGGUUGGGGGGGGGUUGGGCGAUGCAAGGCAAAUUAGACCAGCGGUGUGUGCACGUCUCAGAGGAGGCCAUUCUUUCCCCCGGACUCGAGUCCUUCAGAGCAGCAGUGCCGUGCUCUUUGAUGUGGAAAGGUGUCCAGUUUAAGACCCUGAAAGAGGGCGGCUUUGGAAGAGAUUCGGCGGGAUUCCCUUCGGUGAACAGCGGGGAAGUCGGCCUCCUUGUCGGUGGACGACGCUGGGCUGCGCGGAUUUAAUUACGCUGCCGCCUCUUCUCCUCCUCGUCCUGCUAUUGUACGCGAACUGUACAGGCCCGCGGGACCCCCGAUAGAACUAUUGUCACUGUCCCAGCUCAUUCAAAGUGAUGACACCAACCCAAAUCACCCAACAAUAAGGGCUGAGCAUCAAGAAUGCAGUAUGAACCAAAAAGAACAACAAACACAAGAAAGGAACCUCUGCGGUCGACAAUAGCGAUGAAAGACGAAAAAGAAUGCCUGAUUGGUUUUUGACGAAAGCUUUGCUAUUGUUUGAGCAAACAAUCCACAUUAUAAUGUAAUUAUGAAUGAACAAAUUGCACAGAUGACCCCAGAGCAAAGAGAUACAGUGAUAAAAAGGUGUAUAGUAAAUCUAGAGUGUGCAUUUACAUGACAAAACCACCCUUUUAGUAGUAAAAAGCUAUCCUUAGAGUCAUAUAAAACAGAAAUACAUGAUAUAAAGAUAAGACCAGACAUAUUAAACAAUAGCCUCUGGGAACACAGGUGUAAGUUUAGUGUUGCAUGCUUGUUACAGAUAUGAAUGAGCUGGCAAAUGCCAUCCAAUAAGCUGUAAAGCUAUUACUUGUAAGCAUCUAAAAGCUUAUAAUAAUUCAGUGAUUAUCUUCUCUGAUUUUCCAUUUGGAGCUCUAGUGUAAGUGAAACUAUACGUAGGUAUAAUGACAUUGAGCAACACUUCUCACAGGGCGGAGUGAGGUGAAAAGACAUUACUGAAUGAUAUUGUUAGAUAUACCCAAU